AUUUUAAAUAUGCUGAUUUUCUCCCUUCUUACAGGAACAAAAUUUUUAUUCAAAAAAGAAAAAACGCCAGACGCAGUGGCUCACGCCUGUAAUCCCAGCACUUUGGGAGGCUGAGGCAGGCAGAUCAUGAGGUCAAGAGAUCGAGACCAUCUUGGCCAACAUGAUAUAAUCAUGUUCUAAAACCUGGAUAAUAACUAUGGAAAUUUUACUUCUCAUCAGACUUCAUUAGCAUUUCAGCUGCCAGUCAAUCCAUAUUUGAUUUGGAACCCUUCCUGAAUUUAAGGAUUUUUCUCUCCUAUCUAAGAAAUUAUUGAAACUGGAGUCUAGAUAAGAAAAUAAAGAAACUGGGACAUAUGGACCACGAAGCUCAUCUCAUCUCUCAAACCCUAGAUCUCCACCCGUCCAAGCUAAAAGUGUUUCUCAGGCAACUGAACUAUGAGUAAAUAGAUUCAUGGCCUAACUAGAGAAAAGAGAACCUUAUGUUUA